rnacentral:rRNA from 1 species
UACGUAUGGUGCGAGCGUUGUCCGGAAUUAUUGGGCGUAAAGGGUACGUAGGCUGUUUAUCAAGUCAGAUGUUAAAGCGUGAGGCUCAACCUCAUAAAGCAUUUGAAACUGGUAGACUUGAGUAGUGGAGAGGAAAGUGGAAUUCCUAGUGUAGCGGUGAAAUGCGUAGAUAUUAGGAGGAAUACCAGUAGCGAAGGCGACUUUCUGGACACAAACUGACGCUGAGGUGCGAAAGCGUGGGGAGCAAACAGG